rnacentral:rRNA from 1 species
AGUGAACGCUGGCGGUAGGCCUAACACAUGCAAGUCGAACGGCCGCACAGUAAGAGCUUGCUCUUACGGGUGGCGAGUGGCGGACGGGUGAGGCAUACAUCGGAAUCUACUUUUUCGUGGGGGAUAACGUAGGGAAACUUACGCUAAUACCGCAUACGUCCUACGGGUGAAAGCAGGGGAUCUUCGGACCUUGCGCGAUUGAAUGAGCCGAUGCCGGAUUAGCUAGUUGGCGGGGUAAAGGCCCACCAAGGCGACGAUCCGUAGCUGGUCUGAGAGGAUGAUCAGCCACACUGGAACUGAGACACGGUCCAGACUCCUACGGGAGGCAGCAGUGGGGAAUAUUGGGCAAUGGGCGCAAGCCUGAUCCAGCAAUACCGCGUGAGUGAAGAAGGUCUUCGGGUUGUAAAGCCCUUUUGUUGGGAAAGAAAAGCUGCGGGUGAAUACCCCGCUGUUCUGACGGUACCCAAAGAAUAAGCACCGGCUAACUUCGUG